rnacentral:misc_RNA from 1 species
UUUUGCUGCCUUCAUUUGGUAAAACUUUUCUUUUGGACAUUUUCUUCCCACCAAUGUAUAGACAUUUUUAUUUUAUCUUUUGCCAUUUCAUUUUUAUUUUAUCUAGUUGUAACCAAGAUAUUUAGGGUACCUGCUCUUAGUUGGUAGUAGAGAAUAACAUAUUGGCAAGGAAUUUUUGGAGGAUAACGAUAGAUUAAUUGAAGACCAGGGUAAAAUUUAUCCUUAACAGUGUGACAAAUAAUUUUCUAAAAAAAGGAACUUUUUGGUGUUACCUGACAAUCUGUUCGGGUAUCAGAGCGCAAUGUGGAAGCCUUAGUUAGAGGUGUGCAAUCAACUGAUUUAGUUCCAUACCAAACCAAAAAACCCAAAAAAGAAACUGAAAAAUCAAACCUAACCAAUCUAUAGAGAUCAACCGAAAUAAAUUGGUUCAGUUUGGUUCAUUGGUUCUUCCAUCUACAAUACCUUCAUUUUUCUUCCUAGCUUACAUUUAGAUUGAAUCUCAACAUUUAAAUCAGACUCUAAACAAAAUCAAAUUUACCCUUUUUUUUCCAAACAAAUUUAUAAAUUCCAAAGCAAACAAACCUAAUCCUACACAACAAUUGUUGAAAUUUCGUAGCAAACAAACCCAAUCCGUCAAUCCAACGAAAAAACAUAGAGCAAAAAAUUCAAGCAAUACAACAAUAACAAAAACUAUUAGAGGAAAAAACGUGUUAACUAAUUUUGGGUGCCAUUACAAAUCCAUCAGGAAGAAGUGAAGAACAACAGAAAGUGAGCACCAACAGAGCAAAUAUGAAGAACAACCGACACUGGGAUGAUGAUAUGCUGAUGAUCAGAUGCUGCCAGCAUGAUGAGCCCAGACAGAUUGGGGAAGAGAAAGAUAACAGAAGCAACGCAAGAUAGGAAGAAGGACGAAGCCUAUGGGCCUGGGUCUGAUAAAGAAGAGCAGUGUCUGGUGGGUCUAUGGACAAAGAGAGAGAGAGAGGGACAAGGAGGGAGGUGGGAGAGAGAGAAACAAACUAGAAGAAGCUUCUGGGUUUUAGGCCUCUGGCUUCACUAAAAUCCAGAAGGCCUAAAAGGUGAGAAGUCGAGAUUUGAGAGUAGAGGAGGCAGGAGUGCUGUGUGAAAACAGAGUUUAGAGAAUUAGGGUCUUUAUAUACAUAUAUACAUACCAAAACCUAAUUAAAUCAGUUUGGUUUUUCGGUUAAAAUCUUAUUUUGCUCUAUCUAAGCCUUAGUAACGAAACAACAAAAUUUUGCAAGAUUAAUCUUACAGCAAGGUUUUGGGUACUCAGAAGGAAGAGAUUAGAUGGACAUGGACUUUGUCGAAGGCCAGGGGGGUGGGGGUGGAAAAGACCCUUAAAAACUUACUGUCAGGAUAUUUUCUAUUUGUUGUUUCUUGUUUGUUUUAUUAAGUAGCAUUCUAUUGCUGCUCUGAAACUUCUCAACUUGUGGAUUCGACCUGGAAGGACAAUGCAUUGCUGAUCUUCAGUAAUUGGAACGUUGCGUCUAAAUUGCAAAUUUUGUUUCUUUAUUUUCGGUAGCUAUGUAUUAUAUCAUGGGGAGCAUUGGUUUUUUGUAGUCAUAGCAAUAUAGAGAACAUGAAAAUUUUUGUGAAGGUGUGGGAUAAAAUUGUCAACCGCAUCAUAUAAUAAAUGUCAAGAAAAAUUUCUAUGGAAAUUUCAUCAAAAAAAUAUCUUCCUUGGAUAAUUGUUUUUUAAAAAAAAAGAGCUCCAAUUGGUUAUCAUGGAAUAAAGGACUAUUUGGGAG